CCUACGGGUGGCAGCAGUGGGGAAUAUUGGACAAUGGGGGGAACCCUGAUCCAGCCAUGCCGCGUGUGUGAAGAAGGCCCUCGGGUUGUAAAGCACUUUCAGUGAGGAAGAACGCCUGGAGGUUAAUACCCAUCAGGAAAGACAUCACUCACAGAAGAAGCACCGGCUAACUCCGUGCCAGCAGCCGCGGUAAUACGGAGGGUGCGAGCGUUAAUCGGAAUUACUGGGCGUAAAGCGCGCGUAGGUGGCUUGAUAAGCCGGUUGUGAAAGCCCCGGGCUCAACCUGGGAACGGCAUCCGGAACUGUCAAGCUAGAGUGCAGGAGAGGAAGGUAGAAUUCCCGGUGUAGCGGUGAAAUGCGUAGAGAUCGGGAGGAAUACCAGUGGCGAAGGCGGCCUUCUGGACUGACACUGACACUGAGGUGCGAAAGCGUGGGUAGCAAACAGGAUUAGAUACCCCGGUAGUC
rnacentral:rRNA from 1 species